UAGUGAUCCGGUGGUUCUGAAUGGAAGGGCCAUCGCUCAACGGAUAAAAGGUACUCCGGGGAUAACAGGCUGAUACCGCCCAAGAGUUCAUAUCGACGGCGGUGUUUGGCACCUCGAUGUCGGCUCAUCACAUCCUGGGGCUGAAGUAGGUCCCAAGGGUAUGGCUGUUCGCCAUUUAAAGUGGUACGCGAGCUGGGUUUAGAACGUCGUGAGACAGUUCGGUCCCUAUCUGCCGUGGGCGCUGGAGAACUGAGGGGGGCUGCUCCUAGUACGAGAGGACCGGAGUGGACGCAUCACUGGUGUUCGGGUUGUCAUGCCAAUGGCACUGCCCGGUAGCUAAAUGCGGAAGAGAUAAGUGCUGAAAGCAUCUAAGCACGAAACUUGCCCCGAGAUGAGUUCUCCCUGACUCCUUGAGAGUCCUGAAGGAACGUUGAAG
rnacentral:rRNA from 1 species